rnacentral:rRNA from 1 species
UACGGAGGGAGCUAGCGUUGUUCGGAUAUACUGGGCGUAAAGCGCACGUAGGCGGCGCAGCAAGUCAGGGGUGAAAUCCCGGGGCUCAACCCCGAGCUGCCCUUGAAACUGCAGUGCUAGAAUCUUGGAGAGGCGAGUGGAAUUCCGAGUGUAGAGGUGAAAUUCGUAGAUAUUCGGAAGAACACCAGUGGCGAAGGCGACUCGCUGGACAAGUAUUGACGCUGAGGUGCGAAAGCGUGGGGAGCAAGCAGG